rnacentral:lncRNA from 1 species
UCCACUCCCUUAGCCGCGUAUUUAUCUUACUUAUUACGUAGAUGUGUGCAUAGACGUGAGAUGUUUCAGGAAUUAUGCCACGAGUGCAGUGUAUUGUUCAUGGGUCGGCUAUACACGCCCGGCGCAUUGUACGAAUUGUUCUGAAAUGCAGCCAAGCUACAAAAAUUGACAAAGUAUCACAAUUUGUGCAAAAGGUUUUUGUAUGAAAUUAC